GAGCCGGUUUCGCAGACACAGAUUAAGUCUAAUCGAGGGGAUAGUUAUGGGCAAUUACCCGCAACUUUCAAAAGAACGCCUCCCGAGCGCUAUUUCAGUGCAGUUAGCAUGAUAAAUCACAUUAGCUGAGAUGGACAAGGGUAACAGAAGCACGACCUAGUUUGAGAAUUGAAGCACUGUUGCAGCCACAUGGGAUAGAAUAUUAUAGACUAGAACUAGAACCCUUAUUUGACCUUUUACUCGGAGCCAGCAUCUUACCAGAUCAACAGUGAGCCACCGGCACAGUUUGCGAUAAUGAAAUUCAACCACUAGCCUACAAAUUAAGCAACAACACCCGGAAGGGACUUGACAGUUAUAUUUAAGCUAAAUAUGCUAGAAAAGCGCGAGACUUACUAAAGAGUAGAAACAUCUGAGAAUGACAGCCGAACAGUGAAUAUCACCUGGAAGGCGUCGCUUCUGACGGAAAGCCCUCAGUGGCCUUGAAAGGCGUAGUCCGAGUGUAUGAAGUGUGGGCGUGAUGAGAUCACGUAGCCUGUAACUGCUUUAGAACAGUUUUGUAGUACGUCUGCUUCUGUAAUGCCUACUGUAUUGGUCUAUUCAUGUAAAAAUUAUCGGCACCACUCCACCAGGUAAAAUGUGUAUAUCUAAUUGGGAUGAGUAGCUGAUUCUCCGUCUGGAAUUGAGCAGGUAGGCCUUGGCACUCGAGCAAUGUUCUUAACCCCACAAUGAGUUCUCCAUCCAGGGGUGUGGCACUGCAGCUUGAUCCUGUGAUCGUCUCAUCUGUACUGGAGAUGGCGUCCAGAGACACGGGAAGCAAUCAAUUGAGAGGAACAGAUCUGCCACACCAGCCACCUAUCAUGGGAAAAGGCAGGGGAGGGCCUCCCACUCCAACGGAAACAGAAGAAUUCCCAUGCAGCCCAAGCCUUUCAUCUGGGAAUCUGGGAUAGAUGGACACACACAGACGGCAGAGUUUUUCAACCUUUUAGUCAGAUCUGGUUACACGGUCAGGGACUCUGGUGGAGGCAGUCUGCAGGUUGUCAAAAGACAGGUGAGGACCUACUUGUGCAGGUGGGUAAUGGAAACCUAGGCUAUGGCUAGGGGUCAGAUCACAAUUCACAGUCUACAUGCAGGUAAUUUAGAAUGGGCGCUGUUGCUAUUUUGUUACUCUUUCUUUUCAUUUGAACAAUUCAUUGCUAGGUGCCGUAGGAAAAAACGUGCUAAGGACCUGACAUUCUGUUGCAGUGUUUGGCGAAGGAAUGGAACAGACUUUCCUGGCUGAUACUAUGUGCUUUUACCUGAUGCCUUGCCAUGUCUCACCACGUCUGUAAGAAAUAUGGACACUGCUUCUUGUUGGACAAGUCGUACGAGGCGCGAUCGGAGCCCUGGCGACAGGACCCUCUGCUGGGGCCGACUCUCACAUGUGCUGGCUUGCCGGCGGUCCUCCCCAAGCGGUGAGCUCCGUCUUCCUGCUGGUAAAACCAUCAGGAACCUCAGGGCCGAAGUGAGAGCAGACGCAUACCUGUAGGACCUCUGGUGGUCGCCAGAUCUCAGAGUCUCUAGUGGCUGGAUGCUGAGAUUGAGAGAGCAGAGAGGCUCGGCGGCAAAGUCUACCGACGUGGCGGCCCAUAGGAGCCGCACUGGGGAGCCGGUCUUUAUGGCAGCCGAGCAAGAUCCCCACUGGCAAGGUGGACCGCGAAGACCUUUGGCUAUGCGUUGGUUGCUAAUUGGGUACAUUCAAAUUCAAACGAGCAACAGAUAGCCUAGUACUUAGAGUUACUGGUUGUAACUAAGGAGAAAAAUCUGUCCUUUUUGUUCUUGAUCAAGGAAGUUACCCCAGUUGCUCUUGUUAGCCUCCCUGAAUAGAAGUGUCUGCUAAAUCGCUCAAAUGUAAAAAUGAUUGUGGCCAUUGAGUCUGAAAGUCAGGACAUCCCCGCAGUAACAGGGCUAGAUUCCACCUGUUUCAUAAGAUCCGCUAAUGGACAGAGGCCAUAUUAAAACAAAACUGCGGUCUUCAGCUUUAUUGAAAAUUCACUACUUUUAUUUGAAUGCAUGUGGUCUGGUUAUCAGAAUAUAAAUGUCACUGCGUAGAAAUCAUAAAGCUGACACAAGAACUUGUACCGACAUGGUUCAAGUAAUAUUUUAACAGCCAGUAUUUCAUAUGUAGAGUGCUCUAAAUGUCAUGAUGGUCCACUGACAUUCACCUGACAGGCUGAGAAGUGAAACAACAUAGUGCAAGACACUUAAGCAAGCCCUACAUUGCGUCAAUGUUUGUUUUUAUUUUCCUUUCAAAAAGAAAUUGCAGAUGCUGUCACUUGCUCGCUCAUGGAAAAAAAAGGACACAGUCUUGUUGAAGUCUGUCUGACAUUGCCAACCAGAGGUAGCCAAGUCUCAAAACAGAUGUUUACUGUUUUUCUUAGGAUGAUUUGUUCUUUGCUUAUUAUUGAUCAUAGUCCAAGCAUAAACAUUCUCUCCUCACAAGAACACUGCAUUGCAGAGACAUGGGAUGGUGAGGGCUUUCAUCUCAAGCUGAUACUCCCAAGUUUGUAUGUCUGGUUUUGUUAGUGUUUGUGUGAAGGUAUGUUUAUCUUGUGUACUCCAUAUAAAUUUUUCACAAUGUGUUAUUAGAAUGUGUGUGUGUGUGUGUGUUUGAGUGUGUGUGUCGUACCUGCUCACCAUGAGUUCACACAGCCCUGGAUGGCCCUUCACUCACAGAGUCCCCACAGAAGCCAUUAAGUGGUGUGCGCGCGUCUGGUGGAAUAAUGUGUUUGACUUGGCCGGCCAGGCAGGAGCAGGUGCUGGAAAGGAGGCUCUGCUCGGGGCUCCUACUCACUGGCUCUUUGAUCUGUGGUUCAGAGUUAGCCCCCCCCCCCCACACUGAUCCUGCUAGCAGUUACAGAGUUACAUGAGCCAGCGCUGCUGACAGACUUGCUAUCCCUCAACAAUACAACAGGGUAUAUCAUGUUGAGUGCGAGUUUAGAGCAACUGAACUUUGGAAAUUGAAACAAGUGCUGCGAGGCCAGGGCCCGAUUUUUUAAAUUUUUUUAUGUGUUUUAAAGUGCUAAUUAUUGAGAUAGCCCUUACAUUAUAAACAUAGAGGAACAAAUAAAAUAAAAAAAUUAAUUGAACAAGGAAUGUCUGACAGAAUGCUCCUCUUUUCCCUGCUUGAACUGUGGUCAUGUUCCGAAUCGGAGUGACUCAUGGUGACUCCACCGUACAGACGUUACGUAUUGGUUCAGACAGGGCGAUACAAGUCACUCAGAGACAGAGACCAGAGUGCUAUGCUGAGUCCAGCUGCAGGGCCUGGCUCUUAACGGAAUGGCACGAUAACGGCAUGUUGCACACUUAGCAAGGGCGGG